rnacentral:rRNA from 1 species
GGCGGCAUAAUAUUUUCUAGAGGAACUUGUUUUUUAAUCGAUAAUCCACGAUAAUUUUCACUUUUAUUAAAAAUUUAUAUACCACCGUUUAGAAUUAAUUUUAUAAUUUUAUUCUAAAUAAUUUUAUAAAAAAUCAGGUAAAGGUGUAAUUUAUAUAAAAGAUUUCAAUGAGUUACAUUAAAUUUUAUUUAAGAAAUUUUAAAAAAAUUUAUUAAGAAAAAGGAUUUAGAAGUAAUUCUCUACUAAUAUUUUAUACUGAAAAUAUUUUUAUUAUGUGU